UUCAGGAUGGACUGGUUGGAUCUCCUUGCAAUUUGAGGGAUUCUCAAGAGAUUUCUCCAGCGCCACAAUUUGAAAGCAUCAGUUCUUCAGCACCCGGCCUUCUUUAUGGUCUAAGUCUCACAUCCAUACAUGACUGCUGAAAAAAAACAUAGUUUUGACU